CGCGGGUCGGCAGGAGGACACCCCGUCCUCCGACUUUGGUUCGGAGGCUCCUCGCCCUCCACCUGCGUAGUCGGAGGUGUGCGCGGCUGCAGCUCCGACUACCUGGGAGCGGUUCCGCGCCUCCCCCCACAGUUACCAGGUGACAGGGGUGUUUAUGAAGAACUGGGACUCACUGGAUGAACAUGGGGUCUGUACUGCCGACAAAGACUGUGAAGACGCUUACAGAGUUUGCCAGAUCUUAGACAUCCCUUUCCAUCAAGUGUCCUACGUAAAGGAGUAUUGGAACGAUGUGUUCAGGGGCAGAUGCCAUUGCCACAGGUCACUACGCAAGAACUUCACUGGAAGAUGAAGAAGUCUUUGAGCAGAAGCACAUUAAGAAGCCAGAAGGGCUUUUCAGAAAUCGGUUUGAAGUUAGAAAUGCGGUAAAACUCCUCCAGGCAGCUGACAGCUUUAAAGACCAGACCUUCUUUCUCAGCCAGGUUUCCCAGGAUGCCCUGAGGAGAACCAUCUUCCCUCUGGGGGGAUUAACGAAAGAGUUCGUAAAGAAAAUCGCUGCUGAGAAUAGACUUCAUCAUGUGCUUCAGAAGAAAGAGAGCAUGGGCAUGUGUUUCAUCGGGAAGAGGAAUUUUGAACAUUUCCUUCUUCAGUAUUUGCAGCCUCGACCUGGUCACUUUAUUUCCAUAGAAGACAAUAAGGUUCUGGGAACACAUAAA
rnacentral:sRNA from 1 species